rnacentral:rRNA from 1 species
AACGAACGCUGGCGGCAUGCCUAACACAUGCAAGUCGAACGAGACCUUCGGGUCUAGUUGCGCACGGGUGCGUAACGCGUGGGAACCUUCCCUUAGGUUCGGAAUAACUCCCCGAAAGGGGUGCUAAUACCGGAUAAUUUCUUCUGACCAAAGAUUUAUCGCCUUUGGAUGGGCCCGCGUUGGAUUAGCUAGUUGGUAUGGUAAAAGCCUACCAAGGCGACGAUCCAUAGCUGGUCUGAGAGGAUGAUCAGCCACACUGGGACUGAGAAACGGCCCAGAAUCCUACGGGAGGCAGCAGUGGGGAAUAUAGGAAAAUGGGCGAAAGCCUGAUCCAGCAAUGCCGCGUGAGUGAUGAAGGCCUUAGGGUUGUAAAGCUCUUUUACCCGGGAUGAUAAUGACAGUACCGGGAGAAUAAGCUCCGGCUAACUCCGUG